rnacentral:rRNA from 1 species
UACGGAGGGAGCUAGCGUUGUUCGGAAUUACUGGGCGUAAAGCGCGUGUAGGCGGCCCUGCAAGUCGGGUGUGAAAUCCCACGGCUCAACCGUGGAAGUGCAUUCGAAACUGCAGGGCUAGAGUCCUGGAGAGGAAGGUGGAAUGCUUGGUGUAGAGGUGAAAUUCGUAGAUAUCAAGCGGAACACCGGUGGCGAAGGCAGCCUUCUGGACAGUGACUGACGCUGAGACGCGAAAGCGUGGGGAGCAAACAGG